AAAACAUGGAACAAAUAUGUAGCUCUAAAAGCAAAAUACGAUGAAUUAGUGAAAGCCAAACGUUCUAAAGGUGUUCAGUGCAAUAUACUGAAUGACGAAGAGGUCAUUCAGCACAGAGCUGAAUCUGAAAUGACGGCAGGCAACGACGUAAAUGAAGAGUCUGAAGACAGCGAAGUUGAAAUGGACACGGUUGCGGACGACGAUUUUAAAAUAGAAGACGAGGCUGAAUCGGGAAGAUCGGAAUUUGAUGAAUUAGAAGAUGAAUGCAGAAGGUAAAAUAUUUGACUUGUUUGUAAAUGCUAUCUAAUUGUGAAUCAUUCUAUGUCUUGAUGGCACCCGUAUGACUCUAUCUUCGUUUAGGAAUCCUAGA